rnacentral:tRNA from 1 species
GCCCGGUGGCUCAGUGUGUUAACGCAGAGGGCUGGAGAGCAGGAGGUCAAGGGUUCGAAUCUCUGCCAGGGCU